rnacentral:lncRNA from 1 species
UCUUGAUCUUGUUGUUGGACACGUCGUUUUUGUAAAAUCCGUGCUUGUUCACUCUCAAAAUAUGCCUGAACAUUUGGGUUUUGAAAGGAAUUCAAAUCGAAAUGCUUUAAUUGAUCACAUGUGGGAAAAAUAUUCUAAUGGUGUUAUUUAAAAUAAAAUUUGUAAUGUUUUAUUAUUGUUAUAUGAUGUAAUGUUUUUUUUAAUAAAUAAUUAGUGUUUAAUUUAAAUAAUUUCAUAUUUUAUGGGAAUUUUGCAAAUCUAU